UGUCCAGGGAUGCGAAUCGAACCCACAGUGUUCCGCUUACCGGACAGAUGCCAUGUCCACUAGGCUACCCUGUAC
rnacentral:tRNA from 1 species